GUUGUCCAGACGUAAAUAUGCUGCCCGACGCCUGUUUGCAGCAUGGUGACAGUUCUAUUAAUUUCCUUCUGUAUACACUUUCAAUAUGAAUGCAGCUGAAGAAUGUCUAGUUUGCGGUGUUGCCGAGCCUCAACAAUACGAGGAAAAUAAUGCCUCCUUGCUGCCAGUCUUGGCUGGACUCCUGGGACAGGAUCUGGAGCCUGCCCACAUGUCCUCUUGCUCCCUGUGUCAGAGGUGCCACCACAUCCUGUCAGAGGCUGGCUCACUGCAGCAGAGACUGGGUCAACUCAAGGAGGCCAUUUUGAGUGUCUACAGGCCAGUGAAAUAUGAUGGAAUCACCCAGGUGCCACUCGACAAUCACAAUGGCAGCUGCUCUUUGCCAUUGUCAUCCCAACUACCUGUAUCAGAUCCAGCGACCUCAACAGCCAGUAACCAUCCUACUCAACAUUCCAUGACAGUGGAAGCUACAUUGUCAUCUACUCAUUCCUCACAUGAAGGUGUCACUGAGCUAGCAAGAAGUGGCUCAUCGUCUUCAAACACAUCAACCAUGACCUCAAAUCAACCAUCAAUGGCAUUAUCGGGAAGACAGGACAUACCCGCCAAAAAGUCCGGAAAGCCCGCGAGCACCGCGAGAAGGCUUCCCUGUCCGAUCUGCGGAAAAUCUGUAACGGCACGGUAUUUACGGGACCAUCAGCGGCAGCAUUCGGGUGAACGACCGUUCCCAUGUACCUUGUGCUCUCGCUCUUUCGCCAAAUCGAGCGACCUUUCCACCCACCUCCGCCGUCACGCGGGUGACCGUCGCCAUCGCUGCUCGCUUUGUCCAGCGGCGUUCUUCUUCCCCCACGAACUGGCAAACCAUCGUCACACCCAUGGCGAUACGAGGCCUCAUCUGUGCGCAAAGUGUGGCACGGGAUUUCUCAGUCGGGCGGGACUUCUGCGUCAUCAGCGUGCCAACCAUCCCGAGUCACGCGCGGGAGACACCUCGGAUGGCGCGAGCGUUCCGCGCGAACCGCGCUACAAGUGUGCCGUCUGUGAGAAGACGUUUACCUGUGAGCAAAGCCUGAAGCGUCACGAAAGGGCGCACGGAGCCGGGAAGAGCUACAUGUGUGAGCUGUGUGGUGUGACGUACAAAACGAGCACGGCGCUGCGGUUCCACACGAGGAGGCACCACAGCGGGGAGCGACCCUUUCAGUGUCAGGUGUGCGGCUGCCAAUUCAUCACGCGUUCUGUGUGGCUUCGGCACCUCCGCGUCCACACGGGCGAGAUGCCGUUCCGGUGCCAGUUCUGCGGCACAGACUACAAGGACAAGCAGAAGCUGAAGCGACACUACUCCAACAAGCAUGCCGCCGAUGUGGAACGAGUUGGAGUGGAGAAUCUGAAGUACAGUGCUGCUGAGGUGGCGCCUGUGACUGCUACAGGAGGUGGUGGGGUGGACCGGGCGUCAGAAGGGCAAGGCGUGAGCUCCGGUGCGUCGGGAGAUACACAGCAGUCGCUUGGGGCCAUUGUGGAAAGAAACGCGGAAGGGUCUGCUUCUGGUCAAAGCGCUUCUGAUUUUGAUCAAGGUGGGGUUCAGAUCGAGGUCGGUGGUUCCAUUUGGACUUCGGAGCAGUGGAAGGAAGCGGAGAGCGUUGGACAGGAGUAUAGCGAUACUAGCGCCACAGUGGCAGACCCGGGAACUGUUAGUGAGCUGCAGGCUCAAGAGAUGUCGGCUGUCGAAAUGAUGCCAGAUUCUUCAGUUUUGACGCAAGGAAUGUUAUAUGAGGCGCAUACGGCGCUUUUUAAUUACUUUUGAUUGUGACUGAAAGGGUUUAACUAGCCUGAACGAGAUUAAAUACGUUAAAUCAAGUGAUCUUAUGCGAUCGUUCACUCUCCGAAAAUCCGUACUAUCGCGCCACUUUUAGAAAGAGUUAAAGAAAUGCUUACCUUGCUUUGGAGAUUUGUACUGCAUCAGUUAAGAUCCAAGAAACAUUCCUAUACUAUUAUGCUACUUAUAGUGAUUUGUUGCAUCAAAAAUGUAUUUGCAACAGAAGCGAGAUGGAAUUAUAUAAUUAUAGGAAGACAUUAUUUUACUCAGGAACAUGGAAGCAUUUAUGUGCUAAGCUGUGCCUCUAGCUAAGUACUUAGCUAUGUCCAUUAAAUUUAUAGUGACGGGGUACUGGGGAAUUCCAUUGCAACUGUUGUGGACAGAUAUUUGUCGUCAAUUCUUUGCGCACAUAUCAACCAAGGCAGUUGGUCAGUGCGCCAUCUUUUAUAAUCUCCCACUUUGUAGCGUCAUUUUUGUUUGUGUUUAAAUUAUGGAUGGUGUAGUAUGAUCCUUUUUUGUGGAGAAGUUGUGCUGUGAUUUACCUCAGACACUAUUUUUGAUAGUAUGACUUGUAAUGCGACUCUUGUGCCUUUGACGCACGGUUUGCAGCCUAUCUCUUUACAUAUCGAAAGCGUGUUGCUAAUAUGUGUCCGUGUUCAACUUUUUGUGAUUUGAUUAUGAGUGUGUAUGUGAAUGUGCGGGUCCAUUGCGCUACACUCAAUUUCGUAAGCUAUUUAACAAUAUUUGUUAAACAUUGUUACGUGAUUUGAGAUGUGCCUUACUGGAGGCUUUGUGAGUCUGUUAGGCUUAACGCCCGUUGAAGGAGGGUUUCUCGGUAGGUAUGUGUCAUGAUUCAUUUCUGGGAAGGUUUGUGAUGGCAAAGUUGUUGGACCACUGCUUUGUCCUACCGGUAAAACUAAUUUUAAAAUCGUCACUAUCCCGUGCUCUCUGUAAUAUGUGAUUUCGAUUGGCUGUUAAAACAAAAAACUAUGAAUUUUGCAUAUUUUCCAUGUUUUUUAUCAUAAACCAGAUCACGUGUACUCUCGUUUUCGAAUUGACAUUCACCAAUAUAUGGACAUUAUUUGAUUAGGGCUUCAUAAAUAUUUUAUUUUUAUGCGUCAAAUGAAGUGAAGCAAUGCCCGUAUUUCAUUUACGAUCGUUUGAAGUUUGAACUUUGCAUUUAAAGCAUAAAAUACCCAUGGUUGUUUCAAAAUACAAGCUCAAUUGCA
rnacentral:misc_RNA from 1 species